AAAUAACUAAAUGUGUCAUGGAGGCUUUCAAACCACAGAUGUGGUGACUAACCUAAGGUUCACAAUUUUGAAAUGUAAAACAAGUUACAAUUUUUAACAGAAACCCCAUUAUAGAUGUAAAGCUAACAUUAUUUAGCACUUUCUGUGUUGAGCACCAUUCUAAUACAUAUGUUAAUUAAUUCAAUCUUCACUUAUCCCUAUUUCCUGGUGAGAAACCAACAGAGAGAGAGUUUAAGUUGUUUGCCCAAGGUAACAGCUAGUAAGUGGCAGAACCUGGCUUUGAGUAGAGGCUGUCUGGCUCUAGAGCCCAUGGUUUUAACUAUUCACAGUGCUGCUUUGUAAUAUUGUUAAUAAUCAUUAUGUUCUCAAAGGUUACAUAUCUACUACAGGAACAUGCAUUUGAUCUGUUUCCUUAGGCCUAACACUAAGUUAAUAUCACGACAAUCUGUCUUGGCUAUGAUUUUCUAAUGUUGUUUUAGUAUUAUUUACAUUUGCAAUUUUUAUUAUGUUUUUUACAUUAUAUCCCCAGUUUAACAAACAAAAAGGUCAGUGACUUGAAAGUGGUUUAUUAAAAUAUAAAAGAAAAGAUGAAAAUAGUAAAUAUUGUUAUUCAGAAUAAUAUAAUUGUAAAUAGUGAACAGGAUUCCAGGGCAAAUAGAGAAUAUGGGUCUCUAGGGCUGGGAUAAGGUGAGUCUAUGAAUGAAAUUUUUCUGAACAAGCAGCUGAAACAGAUAAGGGAAAUUAGCAAAUACAAGAAAUAUAAGAAACUUGGAUUUUAACUGGUGAGCCACUCUAAGUCUCCCGUUUAUUGUCUUUUCCGAACCCUUUCAAAGAAUAACUUAAAGCCAUUAAAGUUAUGUUAUUUUCAGACAAAGCAGAGUAACUUUUGGGAAAGACAUUUUUCAAGAAGAAAAAGUGGACGUCCUCGUCAGGGCGGACAGCGGCAGCCGCAACUGCGGGCCUGGGGCUUGGGGCCUGGAGCCUGGGGCGGGGGCGAGGGCGGGCGGUCCCUCCCAGCACCUGGCGCGGCCCGCCCUGCCGCCCACCGUCCUGAAGGUCAAGGCGCUUUGUUCUGCAUUGCGGGCGGCUUCCACGGCGGCGGCCCAGCGGAGGAGGCGUAGACUGCAGUGAGCCCGCUAGCUUGGCCAGCCCCGUGUACCCCGCGGCCCUAGCAGCAUGCCGGGAGGAGCGUUCAGGCUUCUCGUUUUUUAGUUGGAGACGUCCAGGACCUCUUUAUUAGAUGUUUAGGAAUUUCAGUUUUUCCGUAGGGCAGUGGUCAUCGUGAGCCUCUGUGGGGUCAGGCUGGGCUAACUGGGGUUUCGAUUUUAAGUUUCCUGUGGCCGAGGGCAUGUCUGACUGGGAAGAAAGUCCUUGGCAUGACUUCUUAGCUGUUGGGAGCUGUGCGGUGCGAGCGAGAUGGGCGGCGUGCACUCCCCGAGGACAGGCCUGAGUGGCCUUAGCCUAGUUACUCACGGGACUUGGUUUACCAGACAAGGGGAUAAAAACAUUCAGAUGGCAGAUAACAGUUUUUCAGAUGGGAUUCCUUCAGAUUCCGUGGAAGCUGCUAAAAAUGCAAGUAAUACGGAAAAGCUCAUGGAUCAGGUGAUGCAGAAUCCUGGAGUUGUGGCAGCUUUACAGGAGCGACUUGACAAUGCCCCUCACACCCCUUCCAGCUACAUGGAAACUUUACCUAAAGCAGUAAAAAGAAGAAUUAAUGCAUUGAAACAAAUUCAGGUGAGAUGCGCUCAUAUAGAAGCCAAGUUCUAUGAAGAAGUUCAUGACUUGGGAAGAAAGUACACAGCAUUAUACCAGCCUCUCUUUAUCAAGAGAAAAGAAUUUAUCACCGGUGAUGUUGAACCAACAUCUGAUAUGGAAUCAGAAUGGCACAGUGAAAAUGAAGAGGAGGAGACAUUGGCUGGAGACGUGAAAAAAAUAAAGUAGUCAUAACAGAAAAAGCAGCAGCAACAGCUGAAGAGCCAAAUCCCAAAGGAAUUCCAGAGUUCUGGUUUACCAUCUUUAGAAUUAGUCCAGGAAUAUGAUGAACCAAUCUUGAAACACCUGCAGGAUAUUAAAGUGAAGUUUUCUGACCCUGGACAGCCUAUGUCUUUUAUAUUAGAGUUCCACUUUGAACCCAACGACUACUUUACUAACUCAGUCCUGAGGAAAACCUGCAAGAUGAAAUCAGAACCAGAUAAGGCUGAUCCAUUUUCAUUUGCAGGUCCUGAGAUCAUGGACUGUGACGGGUGUGUACUAUUGACUGGAAGAAAGGAAAGAAUGUUACUGUCAAAACCAUCAAGGAAAAGCAGAAGCAUAAGGGUCGAGGCACUGUUAGAACAAUUACUAAACAAGUAUCCAGUGAGUCAUUUUUCAACUUAUUCAAUCCACUGAAAGCGUCUGGGGAUAGAGAAUCACUGGAUAAAGAUUCUGAAUUCGUAUUAGCCUCUGAUUUGGAAAUUGGACUCUUUUUCCAUGAGCGGAUAGUCUAAAUUGGACACUUUUCCCAUGGGCUGUGCUAUGAGGACGAUGACAAUUUUGACGAAGGUGAAGAAGAAGAGGAGGAAUUAGAAGGUGACGAGGAGGGAGAAGAUGAGGAUGAUGCGGAAAUUAACCCCAACAAGGAACCCAGCCAGCUGGCGGAAUGCAAGCAGCAGUAGGAAGUGGAGGUGGGCGCCUGGCAGACCGGCUGUCGGGACUCCGGGCCUGUAGGGGAGGCCUCAGUCUUCGCCGCAUGCGGCACAAUCCCGUCGACAGCGCUUACUCCAUCUAGUUCGUUUUCAAGUGCGUGAUUUUCACUUUCACUUUUCUUUUUUCCUUAUUGUUUUGCUUAACUUGUACAGUGGCAACUGAAAUGCAUUUCAGAAAUAGGAGGUUUCGUCCAGUACCCUCUGCAGCCUUGGUGCCUGUAGCU